rnacentral:tRNA from 1 species
GGAUCCAUAGCUCAAUGGUUACAGCGUCGGUCUACGGAACCGAAGAUUCGGGGUUCGAGUCCCCGUGGAUUCG